rfam:Streptomyces sp. NRRL B-1568 contig-171, whole genome shotgun sequence.
CUUCACCGAGCCCAGCAGCAGCGGACGCUCCGCAUCACGGUCUCGGCCGUACGUCGCCAGCAACGCCUGGGCCUC